rnacentral:rRNA from 1 species
CAGCCGCCGCGGUAAUACGGAGGGUGCAAGCGUUAAUCGGAAUUACUGGGCGUAAAGCGCACGCAGGCGGUUUGUUAAGUCAGAUGUGAAAUCCCCGGGCUCAACCUGGGAACUGCAUCUGAUACUGGCAAGCUUGAGUCUCGUAGAGGGGGGUAGAAUUCCAGGUGUAGCGGUGAAAUGCGUAGAGAUCUGGAGGAAUACCGGUGGCGAAGGCGGCCCCCUGGACGAAGACUGACGCUCAGGUGCGAAAGCGUGGGGAGCAAACAGGAUUAGAUACCCCUGUAGUCCCUGUCUCUUAUCC